rnacentral:misc_RNA from 1 species
GAAACACCAUCAAAAGACGCCCCUCCAUCUUGCUGGCGCAGGCCCAGCUAGAGCCGCAAUAGACUACCGCUCCAAAGGAAAAGAAAGGACAUCCGUUGAACGUACAUGUUGCGCGCGCGUGUGCAUACCUUCCUCCUCCUGCAGAAGCGGCACUCUGAUUGAGACGUUCAUACGUUUCUGUGGUUGAAGGGAAAAUAAUGCCUCCCAAACCUGUCAUCAUCGACCAUGAUGGUGGUCACGACGACCUGGUCGCACUGGCACUGCUGCUGGGAAAUCCGGAAGCAGUGAAGGUGAUCGGCUGCAUUGUCACGGACGCCGACUGCUUCGUGGACCAAGCCUUCAACGUGUCGGGUAAGUUGAUGGCCAUGAUGCACGCCAGGGAAGCAACGGAACUGUUCCCUGUCGCGAAGACGUCCUUCAAGGGCGUCAAUCCGUUCCCGUCGGAUUGGCGGUGGAGCGCAAAGAACAUGGAUGACCUGCCAUGCGUCAACAUCCCCGAGCAUGUGGCCAUCUGGGAAGCCGUGCGGGACGAGAACGAUAAACUGGUGGGGGAGGAGGCCAUGGCUCAACUGGUGAUGUCAUCCCCGGAGAAGGUGACUAUCUGCGUGACCGGGCCGUUGUCAUGUGUAGCGUGGUGCAUCGGUAGGUAUGGCGAGGAAUUCUGCAAGAACGUGGAGGAGUGCAUCAUCAUGGGUGGCGCAGUCGACGUGAAGGGCAACGUUUUCAUCGAAGGCCGUACUGAUGGCAGCGCGGAGUGGAACAUCUUCUGGGAUCCUGCGGCGGCCAAGACGGUGCUCAUGUGCCCGCAUCUAAAAAAGAUCGUAUUCUCGCUCGACUCAACGAACUCAGUGCCGGUUACGUCGGAGGUGGUGCAGAAGUUCGGUGCACAGAACAAGUAUUUACUGUCCCAGUUUAUCGGCUCUGCUUGGGCAAGCUGCACACACUUCGAGCUGAUCCGCCCUAGUGACGGGUACUACGCGUGGGACGUGCUGACGGCCGCGUAUGCCAUUGAGCGGCGAUUGGCUGAACUGGAGGCUGUGCCGCUCGAGGUGGUGGUGGAAGCAAACGCCCCUAACGAAGGGCAGACCAGGCGGGCAUUCGAGGGAGCUGCCUUGGACCACACGUACGUCGCGAAGAAUACAAAGACGGAUCUGUUUUAUCGCAUGGUGAUGGACAGUGCUCGCUGCUGCCCAGGGUAGCCGCAUGGGAGUGCAGCAUUCACCUUGCCCUUAAGGCGUUUUUCCGCGGAUUUUCUAGCUGUUGCCGAUAAUGGACGGCCGCCUCACCGUGACGUCAGGGCCUCAUACCCCCCCCCCCCAACACACACUGUGUGUGGGAGCGGCCAAGAGCCUGCGGCCUGCCCUGGUAUACGGCCGUGGACUCUUGGUGUCCGCGGAGAGGUCUGGGCUUGCUCUGGGCCGAAGAGACGUGCAUCCAUGACCACAUCUAUGCCAGCGCACUGCAAAUCGUGUCGACGCUUGAAGAAAUGUGCGCUUCCAACCACUGUUGUUGUGUUGCUGCUGCGUUGGGGUGGCUAUGACGGCCUUGGCCACCGGUCUCAGACGCCAGCGCGGCAUUGCCCGAAGCUGCGCUUACGGGACGAUAGGAGGCGAUGCUCGCGCAGCCGCGCACGCGCCCCUGACCGUGCUUUUGAUUGCUGCAGCGGCGGGUGGGUGGCGGCGGCAGCAUGGAGUGCCGAGGGCGUGCCGCCUUCUAGCGCGCCAGCGCUGUGCUGCCCAAACCGCCGCCAGAGCCUCGACUCUCCCGCCUGCGCUGUGCCGUGAGGGCAUCCGGCCCGGCGUUGCGCGCGGUAUGCUACGCGGGGUUUGCGGAUCGUUCGAGGCACACCUCGGUUCAGGCAGCGAUUGCGCACGCAAUGUUGCUGUUGCGCACAUGCCACGCGCGCUGCCUGGGCUUUCCCCGGCGAGCGCCCGCCGCUUCCCUCCCCCUGUGCUCAGUCAGGAGGACGCGCUAUGCGCUCUUGGUGCGCAGGCACGCGUGCAUCCGCGGCGCCCCUCCGCCUGGGCCCACCCACGCCUGUGAAGGGCGUGCGGGCGCAGGAGGGGGUGGGGGCCCCCCCUCCCCUUGCUGCCACAGACUCGUGGCAGUGCCCCACCUGCCGCGGCGCAUGCGGGCAGGCCGUCCACACACGGCCCCCUCCCUGCGGCAUCGACGGAAAUGGAAGAUGGAGAACAGGAAACCCCCGACGGACAGCAGCGUCCCCGUGAAGCAGGCCGCAGUGUCCAGAGGUGCGAGGGCUGUGUGCACAGCUAGCAUGGUGGAUCACACCCAGGCAAGGCAUGCAGAGGUCAGCAGAGCAGGAGUGAUGGAUCGAAGAGGCGCGAAGAGAUGCAAACCAAACAACGCCCAAGCGCAUGUGCUGCGCAAGCAGGCGGCACCCCCUACCCCCGGCCGGCUGGGCGGAUGAGCUACAGGCGCCGGAGGCAUGACGGGAAGACCCUGAGCCACACCAUGGAACCCCCCCUCCCAGGCUGCGAUGCGGAGAGUCGCCACGCCAUGCUAUCGAAUGCAGCGGCUUGAAGCGGCUGAGGGAGCAGCACGGCAUGCAGGCGGGGCACGGGAGCGCAGCGGGCCCCGAGAUGCGGCUGGCCAGCGUUCCCCUUGAGUACAUCCGGCAUGCACCUAGACCACUCCCUGCUACCCCGCACGUCAGACACCACCGCCUCCGCCGGGCGCCGACCGCGCAGCGCGUAGCCGAAGGAGGAAAGGGGGACGCAAGAGGACAUGCAGAGCCGGCUGGGCGCGCGGCCCGAUUCAUGGGCGGUGUGGCUCGUCCUAGACGAACCGGGAUGUGGGCGUAGUGCAACAGAGGUAGGCGAACUGUGGUUGUGUGGUGCACGUGUGUUUAUCGAGUUGCCUCGGGCUAAAGGGCACGAUUGGUGGGCUGAAGCUCAAAAAAAUGUAAUGAGAUAGUCGUCGCUGUGCUUUGAGUCCUGUUUUCCUCAUUCCACUAUUCGUCUCCCCUUUGGGUGUUUUUUCUUCAUCGUGCCGGCUGUUGUGCACCUUUAAUUUUUUUUCUUUACGUUCGCUUCUCUCUGCCGCGUCUCUACACGCUGCCACCCGUUUCCGGUGGAGUUUGUGGGUCGAUCGGCGAGUGAGGUGGUGAUGGACUACAAGGAAAAUGAGGCCAUACAUCGAAGCCGCACAGCUCAUGUUGAACGAACUGUGGCCAAGCGCGCUCGUCGAGUUUAAAGGACGUUAACCGUUGGUGGUUUGCGUGAACGUCUGUGAUAUGCGUGACUGUGAUACGGCGGGAGGUUUUGUGGGGCUUCUAUGAAGCAGCUGCACACCGCUGAAACG